ensembl:snRNA U6 U6 spliceosomal RNA
GUGCUAGCUUUAACAGCACAUAUACUAAAAUUGGAAUGAUACAGAGAAGAUUAGCAUGCCCUCUGUGCAAGAAUGAUACACGAAUUUGUAAAAGUAUAAUUUUAUAU